UACGUAGGGGGCAAGCGUUGUCCGGAUUCAUUGGCGUAAAGAGCGUGUAGGCGGCCAGGUAGGUCGGUUGUGAAAGCCCCCGGCUCAACCGGGGAGGGUCAUUGGAAACUGGGGAACUUGAGUACUGAAGAGGAAAGCGGAAUUCCACGUGUAGCGGUGAAAUGCGUAGAGAUGUGGAGGAACACCAGUGGCGAAGGCGGCUUCUGGUCGAGUAACUGACGCUGAGGCGCGAAAGCGUGGGGAGCAAACAGG
rnacentral:rRNA from 1 species